AUUGAACGCUGGCGGCAGGCCUAACACAUGCAAGUCGAACGAGCGGCGGACGGGUGAGUAAUGUCUGGGGAUCUGCCCGAUGGAGGGGGAUAACUACUGGAAACGGUAGCUAAUACCGCAUACUAUCAGAUGAGCCCAGAUGGGAUUAGCUUGUUGGUGGGGUAACGGCUCACCUAGGCGACGAUCCCUAGCUGGUCUGAGAGGAUGAUCAGCCACACUGGAACUGAGACACGGCCCAGACUCCUACGGGAGGCAGCAGUGGGGAAUAUUGCACAAUGGGCGCAAGCCUGAUGCAGCCAUGCCGCGUGUAUGAAGAAGGCCUUCGGGUUGUAAAGUACUUUCAGCGGGGAGGCGUUACCCGCAGAAGAAGCACCGGCUAACUCCGUGCCAGCAGCCGCGGUAAUUC
rnacentral:rRNA from 1 species